GAUCCUGGCUCAGAACGAACGCUGGCGGCAGGCCUAACACAUGCAAGUCGAGCGGGCAUCCUUCGGGAUGUUAGCGGCGGACGGGUGAGUAACGCGUGGGAACGUGCCCUUUGCUACGGAAUAGCCUCGGGAAACUGAGAGUAAUACCGUAUGUGCCCUUCGGGGGAAAGAUCUAUCGGCAAAGGAUCGGCCCGCAUUUGAUUAGUUAGUUGGUGAGGUAAUGGCUCACCAAGACAAUGAUCAAUAGCUGAUCUGAGAGGAUGAUCAGCCACACUGGGACUGAGACACGGCCCAGACUCCUACGGGAGGCAGCAGUGGGGAAUCUUGCACAAUGGAGGAAACUCUGAUGCAGCGAUGCCGCGUGAGUGAAGAAGGCCUUUGGGUUGUAAAGCUCUUUGUAGGGGAAGAUAAUGACUGUACCCUAAGAAUAAGGUCCGGCUAACUUCGUG
rnacentral:rRNA from 1 species